CUACGGGGUGCACCAGUGGGGAAUUUUGGACAAUGGGGGAAACCCUGAUCCAGCCAUGCCGCGUGAGUGAAGAAGGCCUUCGGGUUGUAAAGCUCUUUCGGCUGGGAAGAAAUCGCACAGGCUAAUACUCUGUGUGGAUGACGGUACCAGCAUAAGAAGCACCGGCUAACUACGUGCCAGCAGCCGCGGUAAUACGUAGGGUGCGAGCGUUAAUCGGAAUUACUGGGCGUAAAGCGUGCGCAGGCGGUUGUGCAAGACAGAUGUGAAAUCCCCGGGCUCAACCUGGGAACUGCAUUUGUGACUGCACGACUAGAGUACGGCAGAGGGGGGUAGAAUUCCACGUGUAGCAGUGAAAUGCGUAGAGAUGUGGAGGAAUACCGAUGGCGAAGGCAGCCCCCUGGGCCGAUACUGACGCUCAUGCACGAAAGCGUGGGGAGCAAACAGGAUUAGAUACCCGAGUAGUC
rnacentral:rRNA from 1 species